rnacentral:snoRNA from 1 species
UUUCCAUGAUGAAUCAGACUAGCUCACUAUGACUUACACAAUGAGAAAGCUGAUUGAACC